CAUUCAAAAAUUUAAAUUGCUUCUUUUGAAACAAAUAAUGACCGGUGUAAUUAUCAUAAUGGCCAAUAGCAGGUUCGGGUCUGUCAUAUAUGGUAGAACAAGGCAUCAUUCACUUUGUUAUUUUGUUAUAAUUAAUUCAAAAAUAUUUAAAUAAACUAUUUCAUCAAAAUACUCUCGCCAACCGGGAUGCGCGCUGCAAAACUCGAGGACGGGGAAAGAGCAGCGAGCCAAAAGGCUGCUGGCUCACUUUUCACUAUCAUAUGCCGCCGGAACAUCCUACAGCCGUUACCGCCCCUCUUCCUCUACGAAUAUAUCUGGCCCCCUCGGUCGCCCAUGACCAACAGCGAAAUGUGGAGGGCAGCGAUCCCCCGGCGAGGGCUCCGUUUGGCUCCGCUGCUGAGGGCUAUGAAAUUACCUCCCCCUCCUCCGGGGCACCUCCCUAACCCCGCUUUCUCCCUCUAAGUGCUCUUCAAUGGAUUCUUGUUCUCGUCCCUUCCCCAAAACCCUGAGACCCCGGCGACAAGAAGAAGCCCAGAAGUUUCGCAAACUGAGAAAGAGAUGCCCCUGCAUGUCGACCAGACGAAGUUAGCAGGUAUCUUUUUCUUCUUCUUGAGCGACAUCGCGCGGAGGGAAUGAUUGGUGGUGAUUUUGCUGCUGGCCUCCUUCCAUCAAUCCAUCCGUUAAGGUUUCUUCCAAGAAUUCGGCUUCUGGAAUGCUUAUACAGGUAGACAGUAUGCAGAGGUGUGCAGACUGUUUUUAACCGGUAUGAAGGAAGGAAAUCAUCAAAAACAAAUUAUUAUCAGCAAUGACAUAAGUUGUCAGGUACUUGGAGCAUCUUUCCAUUGAACAAGAAGAUGCCUGCUGGAGUCAUGCCUACCGCAAAUAAAUUGCUUGACUACCUCUUGGUACUGCAGUUUCAUAGCUGCUGCUUGCCCUGUAGGGGCACCAAAUACAACAGCCUUUGAUUUUUGGGGUAUACCUACAGGCUUUUCAAUCUAAUGUUAAUUAGUCGAGCAACUUUUGUCAGAAAUUGUUUUUUUUUCUUUUGGUGGGGUCUGCAAAAUUUGAAGAUUAUGCAACAACAUUUUAUGAUUUUUCAUUAGUUAUUUUGAUCUAUAAGCCACUAUUUUAUACAUGUAACCCAUGGUUGUACCAUAUUACUAUUUGAAUAUUGUUAUAUUGAAGCUAGAAAUACGAAGCGUUGGUUUGUU